GAUGUGAUCCCACCACUCGGUGCUUGUUUCCUGAGCCCAAAAGCAGCGUUCCACUGUGCUGACCAUGCCAGCUACACACUCCAGACUCAAAGAGCCGCACACCAUGUUUGGCGGAGACCCCACCACCACCACUCUGGACGCCACUGUGGAUAUCUCUGAGGAGUCAGACGGGAACAAGGAGGAGGCGGAGGAGGAGGACGCUGGGGGACGUGCGACUGGGAGGUUCAGCUGUGCCACGAGCCAGGACCUGUUUGAGACUCCACUGCAGUCCUGGCAAUCAAGCAUGGGAGAGCCCGAUGCAAGGGAAAGAAUGUUGGGCAGCUGCUGCCGUUGCAAUGUUGAGGGGUUCCCCCUCCAUACCUGUGGAAUGCCCGAGCCAGAUAAGAAGGUGAAAGAAGAGGACUCGAGAUGCCAUGUUUAACGAGGUCCUGCAAGCCAGGGUUGCAUCACACUGGGAGCAGAGGGCCUGGAGGAUGAAUAUUGCAGACAGCCUGGAGAAGGAAGAAGUGGACAGGAGAGAGGCCCAGGAGUCCCAGAAGGAGAGGGAGAUGCACCAGAACAUAAUGGGGCUUGAGGGUCAACAAUCAUGAGCUCGCUUCCCUUUUCAGUCCAUGGAGAAGUGCAUUUCCACCCCUUCAACGUUCCAUGUGGCAUCAGGGACUGCAUCCCUCCUCCUCCACACCAGGGGAUGUUAAAGACAACCACAGCUUCAUAUACACUGGCCUGGGAGAGCCAUGGCUAAUGUACGUGUAGCUAAAAUGGAUAUGAAUGUUCCUUCCCCUUCUUUAAGCGCUGUUCCAUAGAUUUAUUAAGGUCUUAAUAUAUUUGUUUUUAACUUGCACAGAAUUUGUUUUGAAGUGUUUUUGUUACUCAAUAAAACUCUAUUGUUUGGAAAAUAAUUUUGUUUUUAUUAGUGUCCAACAUAUGCUGCAGAAUGGCUGGCGGUAAUGACAGCUCCCACUUACUUGUUGGACACUGUGACACAACUCACAGGAUCAGUGAUAAACACAGUGUAAUAAUCAGAAAUGUACAGCAACCACCACAAAAUUAACAGAUGUAUUGCCAGUGUUACGUUCAUAGAUGUGCACCAAGCACCGCACAAUUCCUAACAGGUGCCCCAAACUGCAGGGCCGGGUAGAGUACAGGAUACCAUGACACAUUACUGUGACUUGCUGUGUAAGUGCUCUUCCGAAGCCUCACUGAGCUGCAUAGCUCUGUUUUGAGUUCUUCUGAUGAUCCUUGUGUCUGUCUGUCUGCCCAAACUCAGCAGAAAGCUGCUCCGCCUUCCCCGUGGCUGCAACUUUUCCUCCUUUGCUUCACAGAUAUUCUGCAGGACACAGCAGGCAGCUCUAACCAUUGGGAUGUUUUUCUCACUGAGAUAAAAUCUUGUGAGUAACAAUGCCAGCGCACCUUCAGUCUGGCAAAAGCGCAUUUGACUGUCAUUCUGCACCUGCUGAGCCAGUAGUUGAACCUUUCCUUCGUGCUGUCGAGAUGGCUAGUGUACAGCUUCAUGAGCCAGGGGAGUGAGAGGUAGGCUGGGUUGUCCACGAUCACGAUUGGCAUUUCAACAUCGCCAACAUCUGGUCAAGAAAGGAAGUCCCUGCUUGUGGCUUUCUGAGCAGUCUGGUAUUCUUAAAGAUGUGAAUGUCAUGCACCUUCCCUGACCAGCCAUCGCUGAUGUUGGUGAAGCAUCCCUAGUGAUCCACCAGUGUUUCCAUAACCAUAGAAAAAUAGCCUUUUCUGUUGAUGUAGCUUGUGGCAAGGUAAUCUGGUGACUAAUAGAGCUAUGCAUGCAGUCUAUCGCUCCACCGCAGUUCAGGAGCCCUAUGGCUGCAAAUCCAUCCAUUAUGUCCUGCACAUUGCCGAGAGUCACAGUUCUGCAUAGCAGGAGACGAUUAAUGGUCCUGCAUGCUUGCAUACAAUGGCCCUCACGGUGGAUUUUCCAGCUCCAAAAAAUGAUUACCCACUGACCAGUAGCAAUCCAGCAUCACAAGUUCUCAUAGUGAAAUUGCCACUCACUUCUCCACUGUCAGUGCAGUUCUCAUUUUGAUGUCCUUGUGCUGGAGGGCUGGGGCAAACUCAGCAGGUAGAUCCCAGAAUGUGGCCUUGUGCCACUGUUCAUCAUCCCAAGUCUGGAUUACAAUGAGAUCCCACCAGUCAGUGCUUGUUUCUCAGGACCAGAAACAGCACUCCACCAUUUUGCAGCUGCUCCACAAAUGUCGCCAAGAACGUUGAACUGGUUUUUGCUAUGUCCCACAGCAGUCUGCCCUCCAGGAAAUCAUCAUAUUCCCCGUGGCUCUGUAGAUACUAGAGGAUCAUGCAUCCUAUGUGCGCAACAUUCAUAAUAAUAGUGCAGAGCUGUGCAGGCUCCGUGCUUCUGUCAGAGAUGGUGGACUGUGGUGAGUCCCAUGCAGGUUCAUGGGAUUUUCAAAAUAGGCAUGAAAAUUAUAGCAUAGAGAUGGCAUUAUGGGUUGGCGAAAAUUGCAUGAUAGGGACUUGACCCCACUGUCUCACUCAUCCCUACACAACUCGGUUCUGCCCCACCACGCACUGCCAAAACUUCCUAAAAGACAAUGCACUGGACGGUGGCAAGUUGCACACUGGGAUACCUACCCAAGGUACACUGCACUGUGCAUCAAAGCAAGCAGUCCUGGUGAGUACGUACAGAGCCGACAAAAGCAAACUAUGCACGUGCUCAAGCAAUAUACUAACUGCAGCGGCUUUAUGUCAACAUAACUUGCGUCAGCAGAAGUUUGAAACAUAGACAUACCCACAGAUUAUAGACAGUCCCUGCCCUGCUGAGCUUACUCUCAAAAUAGCCCUAGCCACAGUGAAGGGCUGACCAGUCUCCAUAUCCCUAUAACAUCACAGUUCCCUUCAGAGCUAUGCUAUCAUCAGCUCUCUUCUGCCUGAGCGUCUACAAUAUUUCCCUGGGCCGACAGGCAGACACAGGCAUGGAGCAGACUGCUCAGAGCAGUAUUAACUCUUGCAUGGAUACCCAUGAUGCGGACCCCCAUGGGAUCAUGCAGUAGAGAGCAGCUGCUUCGUGCUGCUAGUUUUAACCAAGUAAGCACAAUUGUUGUAAGGAUAUGACCUGAAAUAAGUGGGGAGGGUAAUAGUGAGCUGUCAGAGUUACACUGCAGAAUCUAAGGGCUUGGUCACAGAGUUUCGGUCCAGCUUGACGCAGAGUACAUAGGGUGUUAGUUAUUGUAUCUUCUUGGUUUUCCACUUAUACUCCGACUCAUCAAAAUGGUUUUGAAGGUACAGCGCAAUGUGUUUGCCUAGCAGUACAACAGCCCUUGGCCGUUCAUUUGAGGAUCCCUAUGUUCUUUGCAAACAGAGCUGUUCUAAUGCACAGAAUAUAAAAUAUAAUUCAUCAGACACCUUGUGGGAUUGGAUCUGUAAUAGAGUUCUAAGUGUCUCCAGAGAGAGAGAGAGAGAGAGAGAGACCCUAAGAAACCUGGAAUGCCAACCCUCAGGGGUUGCUCAGCACCUUACAAGCUGAUAAUGGGCCAAAUUCAUCCUCUGUUGACUGUCCAUAGCUUCCGUGGACAUUUGUAGUGUGAUUUCAUCUAGGAGCCUCAGUCACAUAUCAGGGCCCCUCAUGCUCGGUGCUGUAAAACACAGAAUGCCUUGAAGGAUUUAGUCUGAUACAAUAUACCAGAGAUUAAAUUGGUCAAUUGUUGUUUUUUCUUGUUCAUGACUGCAACAUAGUGAUAAAGUACCAGUCCCGACUAUUUUAAAAACUACCACCUCCCUGUAAAAUUAAAAUAAAAAUCUUUCCAAAUAGCCUUUUUUUAUGUCAUCUUGUGUUUAAUGAAAUGUUGUCCUACAGUUUCUGUGUCUAGUAUUUUGCAUGGAUCAAAGUAAGGAAUAAGCACCAUCACUUUGAGUACUGUUGACUUUUUAGAGAGUGCAGCUAAGGUCCCGAAAGAGA